UCCUACGGGACGCAGCAGUAGGGAAUUUUCGUCAAUGGGCGCAAGCCUGAACGAGCAAUGCCGCGUGAACGAGGAAGGUCUUCGGAUCGUAAAGUUCUGUUGAAGGGGAAAAAGAGCGGAGAGAGGAAAUGGUCUCCGAUUGAUAUUACCCUUCGAGGAAGUCACGGCUAACUACGUGCCAGCAGCCGCGGUAAUACGUAGGUGGCGAGCGUUAUCCGGAAUGAUUGGGCGUAAAGGGUGCGUAGGCGGCCUGCUAAGUCUGGAGUGAAAGCCUUCGGCUUAACCGGAGUAGUGCAUUGGAAACU
rnacentral:rRNA from 1 species